rnacentral:rRNA from 1 species
GUAGGUGGCAAGCGUUGUCCGGAAUUAUUGGGGCGUAAAGCGCGCGCAGGCGGUUCUUUAAGUCUGAUGUGAAAGCCCACGGGCUCAACCGUGGAGGGUCAUGGGAAACUGGAGAACUUGAGUACAGAAGAGGAAAGCGGAAUUCCACGUGUAGCGGUGAAAUGCGUAGAGAUGUGGAGGAACACCAGUGGCGAAGGCGGCUUUCUGGUCUGUAACUGACGCUGAGGCGCGAAAGCGUGGGGAGCAAACAGGAUUAGAUACCCUGGUAGUCCACGCCGUAAACGAUGAGUGCUAGUGUUAGGGGGUUUCCGCCCCUUAGUGCUGCAGCUAACGCAUUAAGCACUCCGCCUGGGGAGUACGGCCGCAAAGGCUG